rnacentral:lncRNA from 1 species
GGAUUAGAGUUGUAAUAGAUAGGAGUAAGGGGAGGCCGUACCAUCUCACCAGUGAGGAGGAGGCGUCCGCGGCAAUGGACGACGGCGGCGGCAAAGAGGGCAGGCACGCGGCGGCGCGAGCGACAGAUCCCGGAAUGGAGACAGCAUGGUAGAUCUUCUUGCGGCGGCGCGGGCGACAGAUCCCGGUGAUGAUUGUCGCCGCCUUGUCAUCGUUCUCCUUGGGGCACAGGGGAUCGUGCGUGGGAAGUUGAAGGGAGAGGUGGAGAAGGGACGCAGGGUCCUGUCGUGGCAGACGAGAGCACAGGGGGUCUGUUGAGGGGAAGGAAGGCUGGCGGCAGGAGACGUGGGAGGGGAGUCAAGGGGGAUGGGUGUGGACUCUGGAGAUAGGGUUAGGGUUACGUGUGUGGGGAAGGGACUUUAUAUCCUAUUCAUUUAAUGGGUCUACUCAAGUCCGUAUAGAUAUUGUAUUUAGGAAAUAAAGAUCCAUAUUGUUUUCUCUAGUUAUAUUUUUUGAUUCCAAAAAAGACGUGGUUCAACUGUAUAUCCACAUCAUUGUACUUGUCGAUGGGACGUGGUUUCCUUGUAUUUUCAGGCACACAUACUAUAAGCUUAGGUGUAUUUUCUUAUGAACACGCGGUGCAAAAGAGCACUUGUGCGGCCAAUCGACAAGGCGCGUCACCCUUGUAUCACUGAACGAACAUAUAUCUAACAAGGCAAACAUAUUUGACUUUAAAAAUAAGAAAAUAAGAUAUGUAUCUCGAAAGGGUUCCCACCUCUCUAUUUCUAUACAAAUUGCAUGUGGGUUGCCAUUGAAAAAAAAUUCAACAUAAUGUGUUGAAAACUUUUUAUAUCUCCAAACUUCUUACCUGAACUUUUACAAUAGUUGUUAAAAUGAGGCAUGAGGUCAUGUUUAUGUUUUUAUUGUCUCAAACACCAAGUUAAGGUACCCUAUACUACCUUUCAAAAAAAAUCUGAAUAAGGUCUACAAAUUAUGAGAUUAGCAUGGGCUCAUAUAUUUCAUUUUGGUAAUUAUAUUGUAUUUUCUAAAAUAUUUAGGAUAUUAAAAUGAAUAAUUAUAAUUUAUUGGUAUUUAUUUAAUAUCAUUUACUUCAUCCAUAUACAUGUAAAACAAAUUUUUGCUCUCUAUACAUGACACAUAGGAAAAUUUGAUGAGGUGUCGCCCAGUCACCUCCACACAUAUGUUUAUGAUCUUAUAUUUGGUCAUAGUAGCAUUGAAAUAUGAUCAUAAAUACUUCUACACAGCUUAAUGACCAUUUUGUGCAAUAGGAUCAUGACCUAAUGGACGUAAAAGGUCAUAACGUUAUGGGCUUUGGACACUAUUAGAGUUGCCAUGACUAAUUUCAGAAUUUUGGUCAUGGAUCAAUGGCCAAUUAAACCACUGUCAUUAUUUUUGGUCAUAAUUGAGCGUUUUUCUUGUAGUGCCGAAACAUGUAAAAAUGGCAUAGUCGACCUACCUGGUACGACCCCAUCACGAGAGUGACCACAUAUCACUCCCGCCACUAGUAAUGUGGCCUCUUUGCUAGCACCAACCAAAGUAAUCAACAAAACCCCGUCCCAUAAAGGGGUAUCGUGGUCGCACAUGUAAGGUUGGGACGGUCGACACAUAAUAAAUCUAAUCCCAUUUCCAAAACCACUCACACACAAAAUAUUCUUGGUGCACCCCUCUUCCUCAAGUGGUCACCUAACUCAACAUCAUCACCCUCGGGCAUUAGUGGCACCCGACGGGGUUUUCGUAAAACUUUUGAUAUAAACUUUGUGUUACCAUCAUCAUGCACAUGCUCUUUCUAUGUGUAGAACUACUGUCUACUUGUCCACAUGUUAUCAGCGUGACCCUCAUAUAUGAUAGGGUCAUGCUCAAUACUUGUGCUCCAGCGGAGCUAUCAGAAGCACCAUGCCGGGGGCACCGAUCAUUCUUAACUAUAUGCAUCGGAGUAGAGUAGCUAAUGUGACAUGCAUAGAAGUAUUUUAUUAGACAUGGUCAAAGGGCUUCUUGCCUUGAUGAGCUAGGUAUCCGGGGUCUUCAGGUCCAAGUCCUUCGUCGAACGCGGAAUCUAUAGUCGUAAUAAUAGUAAUAAAAAUAUAAGAAGGUCAUUCGAAAACAGAGCACAAAAUCACUUCAAAAACGUUAACCUAUUCUGAUAAAUCUUUAUUGUAGUUUUAAAAAUGUUUGUCUCUGGUUUUAAUGCAAAAAGGUAUUUUUAAAACCAAAUUAACACGGGCUAAAAUAUUUAAACUGGGCAUUUUAAUCAAAGCCAUGUAUAAAAGUUUUUACAAAAAAUAGUGCAACAACACUAAUAAAUUAUACAAAUUUUUAGAAGAAUUGUGGUGGAAAAAUAUUUAAAUUUGAUUAAAUAUUUAAUUUUACAAAAAUCAUUUAGAAUGGAAAUAAAAGAAAAAGGCUUAACCCUGGCCUGGCUCGACCAGUGGCUAGGCCGGCCCAACUGGCCAACCGGCCAAUUAGCCAGCCAGCAGCCCAGGUGCGCACGUGUCAUCAGUUUUAAACCUGACGCGCGGGCCCGUGCGGUCAGCGGUAGAGAGAGGAGAGAGGGGGUGAGACUGGCCACCGACGGGUGGGGCAUGUGUGUCGGGGUUGUCUUCCUCCUUUGGAUAGAGGGGAGGGCAGGCACGCCGGCGGCGAUUCCGAUGCCCUUGAGGCAAGGUGACGGCGGGAACGACACCAUGGCAUCGUCGCCUACCUGCUAGUGGUCGAAAGAACGACGGGGAGGCCCUGGGUCACCGGCGAUGAGGUGACCUCGGCGGAGGUGAUACAGGUGGUGGUGGAGUUGGGUGUUACAGGCAGGGAAAUGCUCGGAGAAGAGGUGGGGAGGCUUACUGUGCUCUCUACGGUCACGGAGGAGGUGAGAGGAGCACGAGAGCUGGCCUGUAGCCCAAGAUCGACGGAGCUCCGAAGCGGCGGGGCCUCGGUCGAUCUCGACUACCGGAGCUCUCUCUGAUCGAAUGGAGUGGCUAGGGCCUCGAUUGAUGGUCUGGAGGAGUGGUGUGAGGUGCUGGAGUGAAGGCGGAGAGCCUAUUUAUAGGCCAGCAACAGUGCAUCGAGCGGGGGAGCGCCGGUGGUUUCACCGCGGCUACAAAAGAGGGAGAGAGGGCUCGGGGUCGAUACCACGGUUUCACGGACAUGAUUUGAGAACCCGAACGCUCAAUGAGAGAGAGAGGAGGCUCAGUGCGCGCGUGCUACGGGGCCGUGCACUUCUGGCAAAAUCUGGCGCGUGCGGGCACGCGUCGCAUGGGUCUGCAGAGAGGGGGAGAAGGGGCCCUAGGGCUGCCCGAGUAAGGAGGUUUGUUGGAGACGCGGAGGGACAUCGAGGGGAGGUGAGAACCGGCCGGGGCUGGCCUCCUUUUCCUUGGGUGCGCACUGUAGCAUGCCCAGAGCGCAGAUUUGGCAUGCCACGGCACGCUGGCGCGCUCUGGGGUGCUUUGGCCCUAUCUGCCGUUUGGGAGCCGAGGGACUCACUUAUGGUCAAAGGAAGUGCUAGAAGAGAAGCUGUCAGCCUUGACUCUGAGACUAAAUUGGGGAUUUUGGCUUACCUGCUUGGAACCAGAGAGGGGGCACUCGUGUGCAGUUAAGGAGUGGUGCUGGCAGCUUGCACUAAGAGUUUAGUGGGAAGGGAGUGGGUGUAGAGUGUGUUAAGUGUUGUUUGACCAUAGUGGCAAAAGGUGUUUGGUAUGUGUUUGGGGUAGUUAACCUCCACCACUGAUGGUGAAAGUUAAAAGGAUUGGGUUUUAGGCAAAAGUAGCAUGCUCCACGAAAUUUGAGCUCCAUUGGACAAGUUUGACAGUGUAAACAUGAAAACACCCCCAAAUGGGCAGUUGUGUCCUUUUAAAAGAGAAUGUUGGUAAAUUAAUCCCCACAAAUCCAAUUUUUAGCAGGGUCUCCUCAUUUGGGGUGUUGAGCACUCCUGCAAAGUUUCAGGCCAUAUGGAUAAACUUUGCUAUGUAGAGUUGCUACAACUUGAUUCUGGACACGGAAGAUUUUAGGAAUAUUUGGUGAACCAAACCAUCUUGGAAGGAGGUGAAACUUGGCAUGACCAACAAAUAUAGCUUGGGAAGCAUGCUAGAAUUUUUUGANNNNNNNNNNNNNNNNNNNNNNNNNNNNNNNNNNNNNNNNNNNNNNNNNNNNNNNNNNNNNNNNNNNNNNNNNNNNNNNNNNNNNNNNNNNNNNNNNNNNUUCUCCUCUUCUCCUCUUCUUGGAGCUAAAUUAGCUAACUAUGUCUUUUUGGAGCUAAAUGGGCUAAUUAUCCCAUUUUAGAGGAAAACAAGCUAAGUAUAUAAUAUUAAUGAGCUAACCAAGGUUCUUAUGCCAUUUUGAGGUUAUUAUGUCAUUUUGGAGCUAAAUGGGCUAAUUAUGUCAUUGUUGGGGAAAUUAAGGCAAGGAGAAUACGAAAGAGUAGAAGAAAGAGGAGGAGGAGGAGAAGAAGAAGAAAUAAAGAAGAAGGAGGAGAAGGACUAGAAGGUCCUUGGCCUUCUCCUCCUUCUCCUCCUCCUCCUCCUUCUCCUUCUCCUCCUCCUCCUUCUUCUCCUUCUCCUUCUCUUCUCUUUCUGUUCUUCUUUUUGUUCUUCCUUUUCAUUUCCCCUCUUCUCCUCUUCUUGGAGCUAAAUUAGCUAACUAUGUCUUUGUGGAGCUAAAUGGGAUAAUUAUGUCAUUGUUGGGGAAAUUAAGGCAAGGAGAAUAUGAAAGAGGAGAAGAGAAACUUACCGUAGUGGUCAUCAGGGAGGAAAAACACGUGGAGAAGGGUCGUGCGAUGCCGCUCGGGAGUUAUUCUGCAGAAUAGAUAUUUUGGAAUGUCUCAAUUAGCAUGAUGACACUCAAUUAUUAAUACUAGUUUAUAAUGAAACUCACCGUGCCAAUCGAAGAGAAGACGGGCAUCGGCGGAGGGACUUGACCGCUCUUCUCGCACAUACCCUGAAGAGUGGGUCGUAUUAGUUAGUAAUGAAACAUAUAUUACACACAUGAUUUGGCUAAUGUGAAAAAAAACUUACCACAAAAAGCUCGUACAGGGCCUGUUGACCCGCCUCAUUCUGGGACCUCUCCUCCUCAAUCAAUCAUGUCGUGGUCUGGUCCCUCUCAUCAAGAGCAGCCUGAAGAGCAGCCUGGCUUGCCAAUCUCUAUUUUUCAAGAGCAGCCUGGUUUGCCAAUCUCUCUUUCUCAAGAGCAGCCUGGUUUUCCAAUCUCUCUUUAUGAAGAGCAGCCUGAAACACCUUUCCUCGUUACCACAGUAAUGAUCUAUGGUGACACACAUAAUGAAAUGGAUGAAAGUGUUCUUAGUCCAUACAACUAACCUCGAUGGCAAGAUCGACUGCCUGUGGACGACGCGUUAUCUCAAGACAGCUGCUCGACUGGCGCGCCUUGAUCUCCGGGAGAGUGAGUGGAGAACGUAUGAUCCCAUCUCCAAUGGCUAUCGAGCCAUGGUGCCUCCCGCCACCAGAUAUCAUCACCAGCUCUGGAUCCAAAGGUUCCUGGCUAGGGUUAAAGUCAUCCCCUUUUGUAGCCUUCCCCGCGUCCGUGUAUGCCACGAGCUUGUGGUGGGAUGAUAUGUUGGUGAAGUUAUUUGGAUCAUCCAGGUCAGACUCAGAGAAUGCCUUCACCUUCUUGUACGAUGCAGUAUGGGCCAUGCCAUAAAGGUCGUACAAGUGUGGCAUCUCCGUCUUAUUGUGAUGCGCCUAAAAGAGAGGAACAAAAUAUUAGCAUGAAGAAUGAAUUGCAUGAAUCAUGAAGCAAAUCACAUACCCAGUUUCGUCCGAACUGAACUAAGUUGGCGCUGCCUUGAUGGUGUGGCACACCAACCAUUUGGCUACGCCGAUCCUUAGCAUUCUCGUGGCCGGCUCGCCAGCUGCCUGUGCACCACUCAUCAACCAACGCCUCCCAACAAUCCAUCUUAUCCGCACACCAUCUCGGGGGCACCUGUAAGUUAUUAGAAAGAUUUUUCAGCGCUACGCCUAUGAAUGAAAUCAAGAAAACUACGUAGAAGGACUUAAGAAUAGGUAAUUACCUUCAUGUAUUGCUCCUUCUUUAGAAACUUUCCGCGGCAAUCCUUCUUCUGCUUCUUAAUACCAUGCGUGGCGUAGUAAUCUCGAAUAGCCUGCGGCCGAGCCUCGUGGCGCAAGUUCUGUAGUAACCGCCUACACUCGGCCUCGAGAUCCCUGGCCGCCUCCUCCUCAUAUCCAUCCUUACACCUAUAGAAGGUCUGCAAUCAAACGUGAAAACAGCGAUUAGUACAAUAAUUAGCUAUAUUAUUAAUUUUAGAUUCUGUAAAAGGAUAAUUUACCCAAAAGCUCUUGAUCACCAUCUCGGCCCUCGUGUGGCAGAAGACACCAUCUAUAAUCUCCUCAGGCGGGGCCUGCGCAGCCUGGUAGUGCUCCCAGGUAAAUCCUAGUGUAGGAACCUGACCCUCACCAGGCAACAUGACAAACCCCGGGAAAUUUGUCCGGCAAAGCACACCAAGGACGGAGUUCGUCCUGCAGACUCCAAGAGGGUGUACCCAUCCCCUGCAGUAUGAUAAGGUCAACGCAUUAGAUAUUUGAACAAACUUGAAGGAAAAAGCUAAAAAAAGGGUAAAUAUACUUACCUAUCUCCUUCAGGUUUAAUCACCGGCCUCUGCUCGCGGGUAGCCGGGGCGACCGGGAGACGUGUACUACCACGCUUGUACACGGUGGCCCCGUCCACCUGCACAUCGCCCUCACUAUCCGUAAGCUCAUCCCCGCCAUCCCCACACCCUGAGCCACCCGGACCCUCGGUCCAAUCCGGCAACUCGGUACGAUCCGGCCAGGUCUCCCAUCCGGGCCUCUCCACGUCGGGUGAAGCCUCCGGAACCGUAGUCUCCUCCAGCUGCUCCUGGGCCGAAUGCACCUCGACCCGAGGCUCCUCCUGGACCAGAGUCUCAUGGGACGAAUGCCCGUCAACACCAGGCUCUUGGACCGGAGUCCCCGUAGCCUCCUCUGCAAACGGGUCGACCAUACUAGUCCUAUGCUCGGGUGAAUGAGCUAGUGGUGGUGGCGAGGACGGCUCAACAGUCCUCCUGGAUCUUCUGCGGCCACCACCUCUCCCUGUACCCUUCCCCUUCUUCCCUACCUGACCAGCACCUCUCCUAGUGGGCAAUAUCACCGACGAAGAAGAACCCACGGGUGGUGUCGACAGACUGUCUGCCAAGGCUCUACGGAGAGAUAGGGGUGGAAGGGAAGUACCACCCCUCGUGCGGGGCGCCUAGGAAGAACCCGUCGAGUGCUCUGGACCAGCGCCCACCAUCUUUCCACACCUGGUGACCUGCCAUGAUAAAGAUUAAAAGAAAUUAGUACAACAUAAAAAAUUGAAUAACUGACAUGAAUAAUAAUAUGUACAUGAAUAAUAAAGACUAAAAUAUAUAUAAUUUAAGUUGUGAAUCUUACAAACUAAUAAUCAUCAUCAAUAAAUGCAUCAUCAUCAUCACUAUCACGCAUGUCUUCNNNNNNNNNNCGUCGGGUUCAACGGCGUGAAGUUGUGAAAGGCCUUCCUUUAAUCGUUGAAGCAUUGACAGGUCAUCCACAUCAGUAACCUCUACGAGUUCCCGGUCUUCUGGUUCCGGCUCAGGGCUGGAGUCGGAUUCAUUGUCGCUGUCUACUUCCAUGUUCUUGGGUGAAGCAUGCGGUUCUUGAAACGUUUCUUGGAAAGACGUGUUUCUUGGAAGAAUUCUCCAUCAUAUGUCUCUGGGUUAAUGUGAGGUUCAUAAUCCUGUUCAUUUGGGAGAGGUGGUCUAACAUGUGGCGGCAGUUCAUAAACAACAUACCAACCUUCCAGAUUCUUAUCCGUUUGGCAUGCCCACGGUAGAUAGAAAACUUGGGUCACCUAUUGAGCCGUAAUAUAGACAUCGGGAACAUCUAAAUGGGUGUUUGGAUUGAUUUCGACUAGUCCUAUAUGUUCAUGAGUCGUUCUAGUCUUUUUCGGCUGGAACCAAUAACAUUUGAAGACUACGACGUUCGGUGGGUUUUCACCAUAGAAUUGAAGUUCAUAAAUUGCUUCAACUCUUCCAUAAUACUCAAUAACACCUUCGCCGAUAGCAGAGACACCACAAUUUGUAGAUAUCCGGUCGGGCAUAGAUAGCUCUUUGCCAAAGGUACGAAAGAGAUACCCGUUGAUGUUGUAUUUCUCAAAUGAACGGACCUUAUAGUCAAAACCAUUAGCGACUUGUCUCAAUUCGGCGUCCAUAGACUCUGAAUUAGCCUACAAGUUUAAUACGAAACGAUUGUUGCAUUAGCCGCAAGUUAGACCAAGAAAUGAAAUGGUCCAUUAUUGAUAAUUACCGUUUGUUUGAACCAAGAGAUAAAACCGGGAUAGCCGCCUCCUGUCUUUGACAGAAGCUCAUACUCUUCGACGGUAUUAUUUUCGAUCACCGCUCCAUCCGAGAAUUUGGCGACGUAAGGGCUGUUUGAAAUAUCCGGGAAUUAGAAGUUACGGGAAAAUGUGUCGAGAACUCACUCGAUGUACGACCGCACUUCUAUUAGGUUGUUGAAGAUAUACAACGAAAUGUUCCGCCAUUCUUCGACAUCCAACGUUAUUGGUUUCGAAGCACCAGCUGGUGCGAACUUCCCUUUGAAUAGGCUGAGCUUCCCUCUGAAUAGGCUGAGCUUCCCUUUGUUUUUACAAACCAUUCUUUCGUCAUCUCUUUCUGACUAGGGUGACCGGUAUACAUCCACGCACGAUCACUCAUCUUGCCUAGCUACUAAAGACAGAAGAAAUAUAUUUAUAUAUAAUUUAGCAUUCAUAUUCAUCGGUUAAUCAGGUUCGCCAUUUUUAUUACGUCCAGGCAACCUACACGCUAAUAGGUAAAGAUAGGUCCUAAUCCCACCCGAGUAUGUGUAGAUCGGGUUCGUUUUCCCAUGCUCUCCUCCGGAUCCAACGCAAAAUUUCGGAAGCACCUCCCCGCUGUUCUCUUGAUACACGUCUCCACAAUAAACAGAGAGGAUUUGCAUCCGGAGAACAAUAGGGAGGCAGUGACGAAAUUCCGCAUGGGAUCCAGAGCACAGCAUACAGGAAAACGAACCCAAUCUACACAUACUCGGGUUGUCCAUGGAUAAUGUUGGACAAUUCGAAAGGAUGGCGGUUAAAAAUAUGCAAAGACAUGAAUAUUUAUUGACGUCGCCCUUUCGAACGGGAGACGCAUACUGGUCACGCAUACUGAUAAAUUAAUUUAAUUACCUAAAUCUAGAAAGUUUCAUCCGGAAAUCGAGCCACAGUAAAUGAAGGGGCGGGGAGGAGAUGAAAUUUGUACUGACCCACGAAUGCAGGGGCGGAGCUCGUACAACGCACGGGGAGGUCUUCGCACAACAGACCUCACAGCGACGAGACAACUAUCACAUGUAAAUCCACCCGAUCAACACAAAUAUUCUAAUUAUGUCAUUUUAGAGGAAAAGAAGUUAAGAAUAUAAUAUUCAUGAGCUAACCAAGGUUUUUAUGCCAUUUUGUAGCUAAAUGGGCUAAUUAUCUCAUUGUUGGGGGAAAUAAGGUAAGGAGAAUAAGAUAGAGGAGAAGAAAGAGGAGGAGGAGGAGAAGAAGAAGAAAUCAAGAAGAAGGAGAAGGNNNNNNNNNNNNNNNNNNNNNNNNNNNNNNNNNNNNNNNNNNNNNNNNNNNNNNNNNNNNNNNNNNNNNNNNNNNNNNNNNNNNNNNNNNNNNNNNNNNNCCAUUGCCCCCCGCUGCCGCAGUGCCCCCGGCGACGCCCCAUUGCCCCGUCGCACCCGUCCUCCUCGCCGCCCCGACGUCCCAGCCGCCCCCGCUGGUGAAUCCCCCCAUUUUUUUGUUUUUCCUUAUUUUUAUUUAUGUUAAAUUAGUUAGGUUAGUUUUUUAGUUUAUUAGGUUAGUUAGGCUAGUUAGUUAGGUUGUUAAAUUAGUUUAGUUUAGUUUCAGUUUUAGUUUAGGUUUAGUUAGGUUAGUUUCCUGUUUAGUAAAGGAGAAAAGGAGAAGAAGAAGAAGGAGAAAGGAGAAGAAGAAGAAGGAGAAAGGAGAAGAAGAAGAAGGAGAAAGGAGAAGAAGAAGGAGAAGGAGAAAGGAGAAUAAAAAAAUAAGAAUAAGAAGGAAAAGAAGAAGAAGGAAAAGGAAGGGAAGGAGAAGAAAGAAGAAGAAGAAGAAGAAGAAGAAGAAGGAAAAGGAAGGGAAGGAGAAGAAGAAGAAGAAGAAGAAGAAGGAAAAGGAAGGGAAGGAGAAGAAAGAAGAAGGAGAAGAAGAAGAAGGAGAAAUAAGAAGAAGAAGAAGUAGAAAGGAGAAGAAAAAAAUAAGAAGAAGAAGGAAAAUAAGAAGGAAAAGGAAGGGUAGGAGAAGAAAGAAGAAGAAGAAGAAGAAAAAUAGGAGAGGAAGAGAAGAAUGAGAGGAAAAAAGAAAAGGAGGAGAAGAAGAAGGAGAAGGGAGAAGAAGAAGAAGGAGAAAGGAGAAGAAGAAGAAGGAGAAAGGAGAAGAAGAAGAAGGAGAAAGGAGAAGAAAAAAUAAGAAGAAGAAGGAAAAGAAGAAGGGGAGAAUUGAUUAUCACCCCCCUGUUCGUGCGCCACCACAACAUAAGCCCCCCUGUUUGCCUGGCUCCCUUUUAAUCCCCCCAGUUUUCACCAUGCUGUAGCUGAUGCCCCCCUUUGCAAUGUUUAACAGAUUUUUCAAUGGAUAUUUAACAAAUGGGUACAUCAAUAGACAAAACUAGUUCACAGUUCACUUAAUUUCUUCUUCUUUGGAGUCAUCUUCUUCUUCUUCCCUUUUGCUGGAGACUUUGUUGGUGUAGCAGCAAUGGGGCGGCUAGGGAAGGGAAGAGGCUUGCCUUACCUUGGAGCAGCAAUGGAGAUGGGGCGGCUGGGGCAGAUGCGGCGGCUGGGGCAGCUGCGGCGGAGGCAAAGUGCAGCAGCGCUUGGGCGGCUAGGUCAGGGAGGGGAACGAGCAGAGAACGGGAGCAGCUUCUACCUAGCUCAUGUGACUUAUACUAGAUGAGGGAGGGCAGUUUUGUCAUUUCAGAAAAUAAUUAGACUAGUCGGUGCUAUUAUUUUCUUAAUGUAGGGCUAAUCAACUCAAAGGGGGCCAUUAGCAACAUCGUUAGCACAACUGGGGGUUAAAAGGGAGCCAGGCAAACAGGGGGCUUAUGUUGUGGUGGCGCACGAACAGGGGGGGUUAAAAGGAAAAGGAAGGGAAGGAGAAGAAAGAAGAAGAAGAAGAAGAAGGAAAAGGAAGGGAAGGAGAAGAAGAGGAAGAAGAAGAAGAAGAAGAAGAAGAAGGAAAGGGAAGGGAAGGAGAAGAAAGAAGAAGGAGAAGAAGAACAAGGUGAAAGAAGAAGAAUAAGAAGGAGAAAGGAGAAGAAAAAAAAUAAGAAGAAGAAGGAAAACAAGAGAAGAAGGAGGAGGAGGAGGAGGAGGAGGAGGAGAAGGCCAAGGACCUUCUAGUCCUUGUCAUCCUCCUCCUUCUCCUCCUUCUUCUUGAUUUCUUCUUCUUCUCCUCCUNNNNNNNNNNNNNNNNNNNNNNNNNNNNNNNNNNNNNNNNNNNNNNNNNNNNNNNNNNNNNNNNNNNNNNNNNNNNNNNNNNNNNNNNNNNNNNNNNNNNNNNNNNNNNNNNNNNNNNNNNNNNNNNNNNNNNNNNNNNNNNNNNNNNNAUAAUAAGCUCAAAAUGGCAUAAGAACCUUGGUUAGCUCAUGAAUAUUAUAUACUUUGCUUGUUUUCCUCUAAAAUGGGAUAAUUAACCCAUUUAGCUCCAGAAAGACAUAAUUAGGUAAUUUAGCUCCAACAAGAGGAGAAGAGGAGAANNNNNNNNNNNNNNNNNNNNNNNNNNNNNNNNNNNNNNNNNNNNNNNNNNNNNNNNNNNNNNNNNNNNNNNNNNNNNNNNNNNNNNNNNNNNNNNNNNNNGGGAGAAGGCCAAGGACCUUCUAGUCCUUCUCCUCCUCCUCCUUCUCCUCCUUCUUCUUGAUUUCUUCUUCUUCUCCUCCUCCUCCUCUUUCUUCUCCUCUUUCAUAUUAUCCUUGCUUUAAUUUCCCCAUUUAGCUCCAAAAUACCAUAAUAAGCUAAAAAUGGCAUAAGAACCUUGGUUAGCUCAUGAAUAUUAUAUUCUUAGCUUGUUUUCCGCUAAAAAUGACAUAAUUAGCUGAAAAACAUCAUAUUUUGUUCUUCUUCUGACUUUCUUAUCCACAUUUUUGCAGAUUGGAUAUACUACAUGCAUGGAAGCUGGCAUUCAUGGAGUUGAACAAUGUCGAUGGAUGAACUUUAUAUGUAUAUCAUCUAGUUUUCAUUUGAGUUGAUGAACAAUAUCGAACUAUAUGUAUAUGUAUAUAUGGAUAAACAGUACAAUACUUUGUAUGUUGGUUCUUUGGAUAUAUGGGGAUGUACAUUGAUUUAUAUGUAUAUCAUAUAUGUGUGGUGAAUUAUAUAUAUGUGUUGGCAAGUAUAUGUGUGGUGAACUAUAUAUCAUAUAUGUGUGGUGAAUUAUAUAAAUGUGGUGUCAAAUAUAUAUAUAUAUAUAUAUAUAUAUAUGCUGUGAAAUAAUAUAAAACAAAAAAACGGGUACUAUAUGGGCUCUUUGUCGGCUGCCAGUUGAUGGCAAAGACCUGUGCCAUCAGCUGGCAGAUGGCAAAGGUGCCACAUGGCAGCCAACUGUGCAUCCUGGGGUGUCUAUAUAGUCUCUUUGCCGUCAGCCUCCAGGGUGGGCAGACGACAAAGAAGAGGGCACAGAGGAGGGGGGAGGAGGAGGCAGACGGCAAAGUGUGGAGGGGGGGGAGAGGCAGACGACAAAGAGUGGAGGGGGGAGGGGAGGAGUAGGCAGACGGCAAAGAUGGAGGGGGAGGCAGACGACAAAGAUGGAGGGGGGAGGGGAGGAGUAGGAAGACGACAAACAUGAAGGGGGAGGCAGACGGCAAAGAUGGAGGGGGAGGCAGAUGACAAAGCCUCAAUUAACCCCUAACGGAGGCAACGCUUGUCGGCUGCCGUCUCGAGCACUUUGCCGACUGCUCCUAAGGAAAGCUGACGGCAAAGAGCUUUGUCCUCCGCUUUGGGGGGGGCAGACGGCAAAGAAGGUCCUAUGCCGUCGUAGGCUGACGCAAAAAUUUUGCCGCCCGUGAGAAUCUUUGCCGUCUGUGAUUUUGUCUUUGCCGUCAGUGAUUUUGUCUUUGCCGUCUGUGAUGCCAGACGGCAAAGAAGCUGAUUCCUGUAGUGAUUAGGUGCCCAGUUGAUGCUAUUUUUUGAUUCGAAACAUCCACUAAAUGGUAAUGACAGUCGCAAUUUUAGGUUGGUUGCAACAACAUAUGGAUUUAAUCCAUUUAGGUCAACAAGGAGUACCUACAGUACUUCGCCAGACUUUUUGAUUCUAUACAACCUUCCUCCUUGGAUGUGCGUGAAGCGGCCUAAUUUCAUUCUUUAUUUGCUUAUUCCUGACCCUAAGGCACCUGGUGGUGAUAUGGAUGUCUAUCUUGAGCCUUUAGUAGACAAUCUAGUAGAUAUAUACUAUCAUGGUGUAAAGACAUUUGAUGCUUCUAGGUCUGAGAUAUUUGAUCUUCGUGCUGCCAUCCUUUGCACCAUACAUGACUUUCCAGGUUUCGGCUACACUCAUGGGUGUACUAUCCAGGGUGAGGUAGCUUGUCCUGAGUGCCAUUCAUUUACUUGUUCUCUACAAAUAAAGAAGGGCAGCAAAUGUAUGUGGGAAAAUAAUGCGCUAGAAAUACAUUGUGUACAGAUUCAUAAACACACACACACACACACACACACACGUAAGCACGCACACACAAACACAAACACAUCAAUUUUCAGCUUUACAUAUUCAAGUGUAGCAACAACACCUUCUUCUUCUUUCCGGGAGCAGGUUGGCAUCUAAUAGACCUUUAAGAUUCAAAGUUCUCUUCAUGUUCUCAUUUUGUUUUCUUAGUACGUCAACUACAUUUCUGUUCUUUUCAAGUUCAUAUUCAANNNNNNNNNNNNNNNNNNNNNNNNNNNNNNNNNNNNNNNNNNNNNNNNNNNNNNNNNNNNNNNNNNNNNNNNNNNNNNNNNNNNNNNNNNNNNNNNNNNNGUUGGGAGGCGUUGGUUGAUGAGUGGUGCACAGGCAGCUGGCGAGCCGUCCACGAGAAUGCGAAGGAUCGGCGUAGCCAAAUGGUUGGUGUGCCACACCAUCAAGGCAACGCCAACUUACUUCAGUUUGGACGAAACUGGGUAUGUGAUUUGCUUCAUGAUUCAUACAAUUCAUUCUUGAUGCUAAUAUUUUGUUCCUCUCUUUUAGGCGCAUUACAAUAAGAUUGAGAUGCCACACUUGUACGACCUUUAUGGCAUGGCCCAUACUGCCUCCUACAAGAAGGCGAAGGCAUUCUAUGAGUCUGACCUGGAUGAUCCCGAUAACUUCACCAACAUAUCAUACCACCAGAAGCUCGUGGCAUACAGGGACGUGGGGAAGGCUAGGAAAUGGAUGACUUUAACCCUAGCCAGGAACCUUUGGAUCCAGAGCUGGUGAUGAUAUCUGGUGGCGGGAGGCCCCAUGGCUCGAUAGCCAUUGGAGAUGGGAUAAUUCGUUGUCCACCCACUCUUCCGGAGAUCAAGGCGUGCCAGUCGAGCAGCUGUCCUGAGAUAACGCAUCGUCCAUGGCCAGUCGAACUUGCCAUCGAGGUUAGUUGUAUGGACUUAGAACACUUUCAUCCAUUUCAUUAUGUGUUACACCAUAGAUCAUUACUGUGGUAUCGAGGAAUGGUGUUUCAGGCUGCUCUUCAGAAAGAGAGAGCGGCAAACCAGGCUACUCUUGAGAAAGAGAUAUUGGCAAGCCAGGCUACUCUUCAGGCUACUCUUGAUGAGAGGGACCAGACCACGGCACGGUUGCUUGAGGAGGAGAGGGCCCGGAAUGAGGCGGGUCAACGGGCCCUGUACGAGCUUUUUGUGGUAUGUUUUUUUCACAUUAGCCAAAUCAUGUGUCUAAUGUCUGUUUCAUUACUAACUAAUACGACCCACUCUUCAGGGUCUGUGCGAGAAGAGCGGUCAAGUCCCUCCGCCGAUGCCCGUCUUCUCUUCGAUUGGCACGGUGACUUUCAUUAUAAACUAGUAUUAAUAAUUGAGUGUCAUCAUGCUAACUGAGACAUUGCAAAAUAUCUUUUCUGCAGAAUAACUCCCGAGCGGCAUCGCACGACCCUUCUCCAGGGCAACCGUCUCCAAACGAAGCCGGCGCGAGCAACCAUGGUGUUUCUCCUCCUUGAUAACCACUACGGUAAGUUUCUCCUCCAAACUUAGCUUGUUUUCCUCUAAAAUGAGAUAAUUAGCCCAUUUAGCUCCAAGAAGACAUAAUUAGGUAAUUUAGCUCCAACAAGAGGAUAAGAAAUAGGCAAAAUGAAAAGAAAGAAGAAGAAGAAGAAGAGAAGAAGGAGAAGGAGGAGAAGGAGGAGGAGGAGGAGGAGAAGAAGGAGGAGAAGGCCAAGGACCUUCUAGUCCUUCUCCUCCUUCUCCUCCUUCUUGAUUUCUUCUUCUUCUCCUCCUCCUCCUAUUUCUUCUCCUAUUUCAUAUUAUCCUUGCUUUAAUUAAUCCAACAAUGACAUAAUUAGCCCAUUUAGCUCCAAAAUAUCAUAAUGAGCUCAAAAUGGCAUAAGAACCAUGGUUAGCUCAUGAAUAUUAUAUACUGAGCUUGUUUUCCUCUAAAAUGGGAUAAUUAGCCCAUUUAGCUCAAAAAUACAUAAUUAGUUAAUUUAGCUCCAACAAAAUGAGAAGAGGAGAAGAAAUAGGCAAAAUGAAAAGAAAUAAGAAGAACAAGAAGAAGAGAAGGAGGAGAAGGAGGAGGAGGAGGAGGAGGAGAAGGCCAAGGACCUUCUAAUCCUUCUCCUCCUCCUCCUUCUCCUCCUUCUCCUCCUUCUUCUUGAUUUCUUCUUCUCCUCCUCCUCCUCUUUCUUCUCCUCUUUCAUAUUAUCCUUGCUUUAAUUUCCCCAACAAUGACAUAAUUAGCCCAUUUAGCUCCAAAAUACCGUAAUAAGCUCAAAAUGGCAUAAGAACCUUGGUUAGCUGAUGAAUAUUAUAUACUUAGCUUGUUUUCCUCUAAAAUGGGAUAAUUAGCCCAUUUAGCUCAAAAAAGACAUAAUUAGGUAAUUUAGCUCCAACAAGAGGAGAAGAGGAGAAGAAAUAGGCAAAAUGAUAAGAAAGAAGAAGAAGAAGAAGAAGAAGAAGAGAAGAAGGAGAAGGAGGAGGAGGAGGNNNNNNNNNNNNNNNNNNNNNNNNNNNNNNNNNNNNNNNNNNNNNNNNNNNNNNNNNNNNNNNNNNNNNNNNNNNNNNNNNNNNNNNNNNNNNNNNNNNNCAAUUGCUUCCAUGUGUUAACAUGGGUUCCUUGUUAUAUCACCAUAUUAAUGCUAUUUAAUUUAAUGCACCUAUAUACUUGGUAAAAGGUGGAAGGCUUGGCCUUUCUAGCCUGGUGUUUUGUUUUACCUUUGCCCCCUUAGUUUCGGCUACCGGUGUUAUGUUCCAUAACUGAGCGCUCGUAACACGAUCGGGGUUGUUAUGGGGACCCCCUUGAUAAUUCGUUUUAGAUUAAAGCUGGUCUGGCAAGGCCCAACAUUGGUUCUACAUUUGCCCAACAUAAUAAUUUUGUUAACACUAAACUGCAUAGGGAGUUAGGGCUACCCGAGGAGUAAUUUUACAUAAACAGGGGGGCCAGUGCUGAUGGUGUUGGUCCCAAACGAUCUUCCUGCGGGGCCACCAUGAGGAAACUCGAGGUUUGGCACUCGUAGCUAGUUCCAUCCGUCGUGUCCUGAGAACUAGAUAUGCGGCUCCUAUCAGGUACGUCGACAAGUCGGGCGGCCUUGCUGGAUUAGUUUUACCAUUGACGAGAUAUCUUAUGCAUCGGGAUUCCGGUGAUGCUUUGGGUAAUCUCAGAGUUGAGGUUUUCCACUAAGUAGUCCAACGAGAUCACGAGUGUCGUGAUCGAGGAUUUCUAUGCGGCUUGUCGUAAUUUGUGAUGGACUAGUUGGAGCACCCCUGCAGGGUUAAAUCUUUUGGAAAGUCGUGCCCGCGGUUAUGUGGCAACGUGGAAACUUUGUUUAACACUGGUUCUAGAUAACUUGAAGUUAACUUAAUUAAAAUAUGCCAACUGUGUGCGUAACCGUGAUUGUCUCUUUCGUGAGUUCCUUUUCUGAUCGAGGACACGGUGGGGUUAUGUCUGACGCAGGUAGGUGUUCAGGAUCAUUCAUUUGAUCAUCAGUAGUUCACGUCCGCCAUGCGUAGAACUUCCCUCUCUUAUUUCUUUUACUCGUAAGUUUAGCCGCCAAAUAUAUGCAUAGCCGUUGCUGCAACCUCACCACUUAACCAUACCUCACCCAUUAAGCUUUGUUAGUCUUGAUACCUUUGGAAAUGAGAUUGCUAAGUCCCUGUGGCUCACAGAUUACUACAACACCAAUUGCAGGUACAGGUAAAGGUUAUUGACGCGAGCACAUUGAUUGUUCAUUUGGAGUUGCUUCUUCUUCUUCUUCUUCUUCAUCGAUCUAGGAUGNNNNNNNNNNNNNNNNNNNNNNNNNNNNNNNNNNNNNNNNNNNNNNNNNNNNNNNNNNNNNNNNNNNNNNNNNNNNNNNNNNNNNNNNNNNNNNNNNNNNCAUAUUUAUUACGAGAACAUGUUUCCAUUUUAAUCCUCAUAUUUGAUCUUAUCUCUAAACUCAGAUUCUUAUGAUUGUAGUCUACAGUCUAAUAUUUCCAGCACUGCUACACUUUAUACCUUCUCAAGCAUACUAUGAUUUUUCUUUUGAGCUUAUUUUAUUUUGCAAAUAGAACCAUUAGCUUGUAGGAUAAUUUUAUGAUUGUAGUCUACAGUCUUAUUUUAUUUUUUCCAACAUGAAUCAGUGUGUCACAUUAACAGGAUAAUUUUGUUGCAUCUAAUCAUGAAUACAAAUCAUAUUAUAGAUACAUGUCAGCCACAGUCACAAAUUGAAAUGAUAAUAUUUAUUUUGCACAUCCAAAGCAUGAGAAGUAAUGUACAUAACAGUUCACAACGACAAUGAACGAUAUAUUGUUCAACUUGCAAGGAUAAGCUCCAGUUUUGAAUAUCCGAAACACAUCACAGCUCAUGUGAAGUCUUGCAACUACCAAAAUGCUACUUUGUUGACAACACAAUCAUGAGUUCUAAAGUCUACCUCUAAGUCAAAAAAAGACACUCCCAAGGUCAGAACCACCAUCUAUAAUUCUCGCUUUCAUGGUUGUUGGAACUGGUGUCGCCACCACCAGCACGAGCAUUAUUGGUGCAAAGGUUAGUUUGUUGAUGGCCUGCUCACUCGUAUCUCCACUGGAGUUGUCAUUGGCACCACCAAUUGCACCCAAAUCACCAUGAACAGUGUUGCCAUCAAUGGCUUGGUGUCCAGUAUGAAAUGAAUUAGUUGUCCCCUACAUCAUAGCAUUUAUUUAGACAUACCAGGAGAGCUUAUGAAGUAGUAUCAUUAAAAGCAAAAUAAAUAAAUAGCAAUAGCUUCUCAGUUUAUGGUCGCACUAAACCAUCAGAUACAAAAUAUGAAUAAUUGUACUGCCACAUGUCCUUUUGUGAAUAAACCAUCAACACAUUCAAUUUGGACAUAUUUGACCAACAACUUAAGUAGCCAUUUUAACUCAGAGAUGAUCAAAAUAAUAGUAAACACCUAAACUCAUAGAUUUUUGGGCAGAUUUGGCAAACUUAAGUACUCCCUCUGUCCCAAAAUAAGUGAUUCAAAAAUGAUUCAAUUUUGUACUAACUUUAGUAUAAAGUAGAGUCACUUUUGAGUCACUUAUUUUGGGUCGGAGGGAGUAUAUUAUAAGCAACAGAAAUAAUAGAGAAAAGAUGUCAUCUUGUGGACAGGAAAUUUGGAUUGGCAUUAAAGAACAAAUAAGUUAAUGGUAACAUUUAACAUGCAUCAUGUUUGCAAAAAGGAAUGCUUAUGUCAGUACAGAGAACCACAACUUCAAAUGCUAAGAUAUCAAGGUUGCAACAUAUCAGACAUGCACUAUAAUGAGAAGGUUAUGGGCAAAGAAACCCCACUCUUAUUUACUUAUAGGAAAUCGUUUACUUACAUGUGGUUGGAAACUUUCUCCUGGUUGUAGCUCCGGUGGUAGUUCUUUUCCCAUCUCCAUUAAAAUGGUGUAUGAAAAAAUUAUGCAACAUUACAAUAGUUAAUUUCUCAGCCACUAAUUCGAAAUAACAGUGCUAAAGUUGUACGAGUGCUAAAGUUGGAACCUUGUGAUGUCAAUCCGGUGGGUUCCUUCAUAACAGUACAUAUUUUUUUACAUACAUGUACCAAGCUAAGGCUAUUUUGCAAAAUCUGCGAUGUCACUUGACACCAUAAAGAUGUAUGUAGCGUGGCCACUACUACUGAUUUCUGUCCUGAACAAAUCGAUUGCUGAUUUCUAGUAGUAUUUAUGUAAUAGAAGAUGAGAGAAAUUAUAUUUACGUGGUGUUGACACCUUAAUCUUGCAUCUAUGUAACAGAAGAUGAGAGAAAUUAUAUAACUUUUACGCUCAAUACACUACCACUGUUGGAGGAUGAAAUAGUUCUAAUUUAUUUAUUACUUGUACAUUAUAAUAUUUAAUUAUUUUGUAUGCUUUUUUAUGUUUGAUUAUUUGAAUUACCAGGAUGAUCAGAAGCACCCAUAAGAAGUAGAGGACAUGACAGGAGGAGGGAACAGGAAGCUUUGUUUAUCAUUGAUGUUAUGUGUGAUCAACAAAAACUUGUGCUUCUCAUCCAAUCUUUGUCAAACUAUGUUGAUGUGUGAUUAUGCAUUUGUUGGGCCUUGAACCUUUAUGUGUAGAGGAGUCGAUGGAUGACGUAUUGUAAUUCAUGUGAUGUGCUACUGAAAUGAAAUAUAUACAACUAAUUUGCAGUCUUGUACUUGCUGUUUAAUGGGUUUAUCCUGAGAUAUACAUGCUUUUGGCAAAAUAAUGUAUCAUCCUAAACAAUUUAGACAUUUUUAAUAAUAGAAUAGUAUUGGUGGAGGCCCAUGUCGCUAGAUUAUUGCAUUGGGUUGUGUAAUGUAUGAUGAUUCCAUUUGGUCACUAGCAAUGCCAUGUCAGCACAGCCACGUCAGAUCCUACGU